GAGCAAAAUGCCUGUUAACCGAAGUUUGAUUAAGAUUCUCUCCCUUCCCCAGGUCCCUGAACUUUGGCCUACCCUCAGCCUGUGUGAGUGAUAGAGAUAGGAGGCAGCCAAGGGUCCCCGGAGAAACCCCGCCUUCAAGCCUAAAACAGCUUGAAGGCUGAAAAACCAAACUGCCGGUCCCAGAUGAAGCCCACCCUUUUCCCGACUGAUUCGUUCUGAAUAAUGCGCACAUGCGCACUAGCGAGGACAGGCUGGAGCCUCUCGAAGUUUGCGCCCUUUGCAGGGGGGAGGAGCCUGGCCUCUCCAGUUCCUGUGUGGUAACCUGAGAUUCAAUCUGUGAGGCAGGAAACCUGCUAGCAGGGCUCUCUCUCUCUUUGCUGUGGGUUCCUGUUUACCUUUUUCUUAUAUUUUUUCCUUUUCAUCCAAUAAAUUCCAUUCCCCCUCACCCGUCAAAGUGUCUGUGUGCCUAACUUUUACUGGUUGUAUGACAAGAACCCAGUGUUUUCUACAACAUUUUUGGCGUCCGGACGUGGGGCUUGAAGAAGGGAGAAGGAGGGGAGAGGAAAAGAAAAAGGAAGUAAGAUCGAGAAGCUGUGGGGCCAAAGAAUGGAACAGAAUGUUGCAAUGGAGUGCUGAUUACUCUUCAGCACCAUUCUGGGAAGGAAAUGCCAAGACCACUCCCAUCUCUCAGAAUUACUCAUCUGAGCACAGACAACUGGCUCGGUGGAGAAUUAAUCCUGUAUGUUUUACAGUUCAGCUAAAACCAAAGUGGAUCUGUUGUUUUCCUUGCCCUAAAACUGAAGAUAAAAUUUUGUUAAAAUGGGAACGGUUAUUUCUAAAUGAAGGAAUGUUGGUUAACAGGUAAUUUUGCCCUUGUGCCACCUCUAAAGAUUCAAAUAUAAGAAAUAUUAUUUGUAGUGACCCUUUACAAAUAGAUCAACCACAAAAACAAAGAUUCUUGUAGCUGGCAUAUAUGUGAAUUUAUGAUCUGGAUCAGAGAAAACAUUUUAAAAACAACAAGAUUCAUUUAAUUAAAUACAUAUUUUCUUAAAACAAAAUUUAUCAAAUCAUAAGGAAUUUCACCAUUUCUGUAAUAACUUAUGAUGGAAAAUUCUGUGUCAUGCAAAUGCUAAGAAUGAUCUUCCCAGGUUCUCCCCUCCCUAUCUAUUUGAUUCUAUUUUUAUUGUUGUUUCUCUUGAAUGACACAAUUGAUCCAAUAAGCAGCGCCAUCUUUGUAUUAUCCAUUUGAUGACCCUAAGGACUUUAUUAAUAAUUUUCAAUCUGGCCUUUUUUAAUAAGUAGGCACAGUCACAGACAGUAAAAUUAAAAUAUCAACUAUUCCCUUUUGUAAAUAUGAAACAUCUGAGAUCCACCGCAUUAUAUGUGGAAUAAGGUUAGAUAAAAUUUACAUUUAGAAAAAACGUACCCCUGUCUUCAUUCAACCACUCACAAAC
rnacentral:lncRNA from 1 species